rnacentral:rRNA from 1 species
GGGUUGUGAGGUGAAGCGACUAAGCGUACACGGUGGAUGCCCUGGCAGUCAGAGGCGAUGAAGGACGUGCUAAUCUGCGAUAAGCGUCGGUAAGGUGAUAUGAACCGUUAUAACCGGCGAUUUCCGAAUGGGGAAACCCAGUGUGUUUCGACACACUAUCAUUAACUGAAUCCAUAGGUUAAUGAGGCGAACCGGGGGAACUGAAACAUCUAAGUACCCCGAGGAAAAGAAAUCAACCGAGAUUCCCCCAGUAGCGGCGAGCGAACGGGGAGCAGCCCAGAGCCUGAAUCAGUGUGUGUGUUAGUGGAAGCGUCUGGAAAGGCGCGCGAUACAGGGUGACAGCCCCGUACACAAAAAUGCACAUGCUGUGAGCUCGAUGAGUAGGGCGGGACACGUGGUAUCCUGUCUGAAUAUGGGGGGACCAUCCUCCAAGGCUAAAUACUCCUGACUGACCGAUAGUGAACCAGUACCGUGAGGGAAAGGCGAAAAGAACCCCGGCGAGGGGAGUGAAAAAGAACCUGAAACCGUGUACGUACAAGCAGUGGGAGCACGCUUCGGCGUGUGACUGCGUACCUUUUGUAUAAUGGGUCAGCGACUUAUAUUCUGUAGCAAGGUUAACCGAAUAGGGGAGCCGAAGGGAAACCGAGUCUUAACUGGGCGUUAAGUUGCAGGGUAUAGACCCGAAACCCGGUGAUCUAGCCAUGGGCAGGUUGAAGGUUGGGUAACACUAACUGGAGGACCGAACCGACUAAUGUUGAAAAAUUAGCGGAUGACUUGUGGCUGGGGGUGAAAGGCCAAUCAAACCGGGAGAUAGCUGGUUCUCCCCGAAAGCUAUUUAGGUAGCGCCUCGUGAAUUCAUCUCCGGGGGUAGAGCACUGUUUCGGCAAGGGGGUCAUCCCGACUUACCAACCCGAUGCAAACUGCGAAUACCGGAGAAUGUUAUCACGGGAGACACACGGCGGGUGCUAACGUCCGUCGUGAAGAGGGAAACAACCCAGACCGCCAGCUAAGGUCCCAAAGUCAUGGUUAAGUGGGAAACGAUGUGGGAAGGCCCAGACAGCCAGGAUGUUGGCUUAGAAGCAGCCAUCAUUUAAAGAAAGCGUAAUAGCUCACUGGUCGAGUCGGCCUGCGCGGAAGAUGUAACGGGGCUAAACCAUGCACCGAAGCUGCGGCAGCGACGCUUAUGCGUUGUUGGGUAGGGGAGCGUUCUGUAAGCCUGUGAAGGUGUGCUGUGAGGCAUGCUGGAGGUAUCAGAAGUGCGAAUGCUGACAUAAGUAACGAUAAAGCGGGUGAAAAGCCCGCUCGCCGGAAGACCAAGGGUUCCUGUCCAACGUUAAUCGGGGCAGGGUGAGUCGACCCCUAAGGCGAGGCCGAAAGGCGUAGUCGAUGGGAAACAGGUUAAUAUUCCUGUACUUGGUGUUACUGCGAAGGGGGGACGGAGAAGGCUAUGUUGGCCGGGCGACGGUUGUCCCGGUUUAAGCGUGUAGGCUGGUUUUCCAGGCAAAUCCGGAAAAUCAAGGCUGAGGCGUGAUGACGAGGCACUACGGUGCUGAAGCAACAAAUGCCCUGCUUCCAGGAAAAGCCUCUAAGCAUCAGGUAACAUCAAAUCGUACCCCAAACCGACACAGGUGGUCAGGUAGAGAAUACCAAGGCGCUUGAGAGAACUCGGGUGAAGGAACUAGGCAAAAUGGUGCCGUAACUUCGGGAGAAGGCACGCUGAUAUGUAGGUGAGGUCCCUCGCGGAUGGAGCUGAAAUCAGUCGAAGAUACCAGCUGGCUGCAACUGUUUAUUAAAAACACAGCACUGUGCAAACACGAAAGUGGACGUAUACGGUGUGACGCCUGCCCGGUGCCGGAAGGUUAAUUGAUGGGGUUAGCGGUAACGCGAAGCUCUUGAUCGAAGCCCCGGUAAACGGCGGCCGUAACUAUAACGGUCCUAAGGUAGCGAAAUUCCUUGUCGGGUAAGUUCCGACCUGCACGAAUGGCGUAAUGAUGGCCAGGCUGUCUCCACCCGAGACUCAGUGAAAUUGAACUCGCUGUGAAGAUGCAGUGUACCCGCGGCAAGACGGAAAGACCCCGUGAACCUUUACUAUAGCUUGACACUGAACAUUGAGCCUUGAUGUGUAGGAUAGGUGGGAGGCUUUGAAGUGUGGACGCCAGUCUGCAUGGAGCCGACCUUGAAAUACCACCCUUUAAUGUUUGAUGUUCUAACGUUGACCCGUAAUCCGGGUUGCGGACAGUGUCUGGUGGGUAGUUUGACUGGGGCGGUCUCCUCCUAAAGAGUAACGGAGGAGCACGAAGGUUGGCUAAUCCUGGUCGGACAUCAGGAGGUUAGUGCAAUGGCAUAAGCCAGCUUGACUGCGAGCGUGACGGCGCGAGCAGGUGCGAAAGCAGGUCAUAGUGAUCCGGUGGUUCUGAAUGGAAGGGCCAUCGCUCAACGGAUAAAAGGUACUCCGGGGAUAACAGGCUGAUACCGCCCAAGAGUUCAUAUCGACGGCGGUGUUUGGCACCUCGAUGUCGGCUCAUCACAUCCUGGGGCUGAAGUAGGUCCCAAGGGUAUGGCUGUUCGCCAUUUAAAGUGGUACGCGAGCUGGGUUUAGAACGUCGUGAGACAGUUCGGUCCCUAUCUGCCGUGGGCGCUGGAGAACUGAGGGGGGCUGCUCCUAGUACGAGAGGACCGGAGUGGACGCAUCACUGGUGUUCGGGUUGUCAUGCCAAUGGCACUGCCCGGUAGCUAAAUGCGGAAGAGAUAAGUGCUGAAAGCAUCUAAGCACGAAACUUGCCCCGAGAUGAGUUCUCCCUGACUCCUUGAGAGUCCUGAAGGAACGUUGAAGACGACGACGUUGAUAGGCCGGGUGUGUAAGCGCAGCGAUGCGUUGAGCUAACCGGUACUAAUGAACCGUGAGGCUUAACCUUACAACGCCGAAG